rnacentral:rRNA from 1 species
AUUGAACGCUGGCGGCAUGCCUUACACAUGCAAGUCGAACGGCAGCACGGGUGCUUGCACCUGGUGGCGAGUGGCGAACGGGUGAGUAAUACAUCGGAACAUGUCCUGUAGUGGGGGAUAGCCCGGCGAAAGCCGGAUUAAUACCGCAUACGAUCUACGGAUGACAGCGGGGGACCUUCGGGCCUCGCGCUGUAGGGUUGGCCGAUGGCUGAUUAGCUAGUUGGUGGGGUAAAGGCCUACCAAGGCGACGAGCAGUAGCUGGUCUGAGAGGACGACCAGCCACACUGGGACGGGGACACGGCCCAGACGCCUACGGGAGGCAGCAGUGGGGAAUUGGGGACAAUGGGCGAAAGCCUGAUCCAGCAAUGCCGCGUGUGUGAAGAAGGCCUUCGGGUUGUAAAGCACGUUUGUCCGGAAAGAAAUCCUUGGCCCUAAGACGGUCGGGGGAUGACGGUACCGGAAGAAUAAGCACCGGCUAACUACGUG